GAUAAACGCUGGCGGCGUGCCUAAAACAUGCAAGUCGAACGGCUCUUCGGAGCAGUGGCGGACGGCUGAGUAACACGUGGGUGACCUGCCCUCGAGCGGGGGAUAACUGCCCGAAAGGGUGGCUAAUACCGCAGACAUCUGUUCUUCGGUGAGCAGAUUGAACCGUUUAGGGUUCGGGGAGGGGCCCGCGGCCGAUUAGCUAGCUGGUGGGGUAAUGGCCUACCAGGGCGACGAUCGGUAGCUGGUCUGAGAGGAUGAUCAGCCAGACUGGGACUGCGAACGGCCCAGACUCCUACGGGAGGCAGCAGUUAGGAAUUUUGGGCAAUGGGCGAAAGCCUGACCCAGCAACGCCGCGUGGGUGAUGAAGGCCCUCGGGUCGUAAAGCCCUUUUCCCAGGGAAGAUAGUGACGGUACCUGGGGAAUCAGCCCCGGCUAACUACGUGCCAGCCGCCGCGGUA
rnacentral:rRNA from 1 species